rnacentral:rRNA from 1 species
GAUGAACGCUGACAGAAGGCUUAACACAUGCAAGUCGAUGGGGAAGUGGUUCUUGCACCAUGGUAACCAUGGCGGACUGGUGAGUAACUCGUAAGUAACUUACCUUCGGGACCGUGAUAGCAGCAGGAGACUGCUGACAAAACCGGAUAAGGUCAUUAACCUGCGUAUCUUAGUGAUGAAAGUAGACGCCUGCGGAGAGCCUUGCGUCCUAUUAGCUAGUUGGAGGUGUAACGGCCAACCAAGGCGCAGAUAGGUGGACGGUCUGAGAGGGACGACGGCCACAAGGCGACUGGGAGCCGCACCGUACUACUACGGGAGGCAGCAGCGGGGAAUAUUGGACAAUGCGGGCAACCCUGAGCAAGCAAUUCUGUGUGAAAGACGACGGUUUUCGGAUUGUAAAGUGCUUUCAGAAGGGCAGAAGGAAGUGCGGGAACCAGCAGAAGAAGCCCCGGCUACUUCCGU